rfam:Streptomyces sp. WAC00263 NODE_1502_length_4046_cov_5.687840, whole genome shotgun sequence.
CGGUCGUCAACGCCGAAUCCUGCCAACGGCCGUACGGGAACAGUCGACGCGUCAGCGCCGUAGGCAGGAGCGGGGGAACCAAGGUAGGCGCCGCGCCCGGUAGUUGACCGGGAGCGGCUUGGGGUGAAGCCGAGCGCUCAGCGCGCACGGCCGGGCACUCACCCGCCCGAACCCGACAGCUCACCUCGCAGGCGUCGGUGAGGGGAUCU